GAUGAACGCUGGCGGCGUGCUUAACACAUGCAAGUCGAACGAAGCACUCUACUUGAUUUCCUUCGGGAAUGAUUGUUUUGUGACUGAGUGGCGGACGGGUGAGUAACGCGUGGGUAACCUGCCUCAUACAGGGGGGAUAACAGUUGGAAACGACUGCUAAUACCGCAUAAGCGCACAGCUUCGCAUGAAGUGGUGUGAAAAACUCCGGUGGUAUGGGAUGGACCCGCGUUGGAUUAGCUUGUUGGUGGGGUAACGGCCCACCAAGGCGACGAUCCAUAGCCGACCUGAGAGGGUGACCGGCCACAUUGGGACUGAGACACGGCCCAAACUCCUACGGGAGGCAGCAGUGGGGAAUAUUGCACAAUGGGCGAAAGCCUGAUGCAGCGACGCCGCGUGAAUGAAGAAGUAUUUCGGUAUGUAAAGUUCUAUCAGCAGGGAAGAAGAAUGACGGUACCUGACUAAGAAGCACCGGCUAAAUACGUGCCAGCAGCCG
rnacentral:rRNA from 1 species